rnacentral:rRNA from 1 species
CGCUAGUAAUCGCGGAUCAGAAUGCCGCGGUGAAUACGUUCCCGGGUCUUGUACACACCGCCCGUCACGCCAUGGGAGUCGGGAAUGCCCGAAGUCAGUGACCCAACCCAAGGGAGGGAGCUGCCGAAGGCAGGCCUGGUGACUGGGGUGAAGUCGUAACAAGGUAGC